AGAGUUUGAUCAUGGCUCAGAACGAACGCUGGCGGCAUGCCUAACACAUGCAAGUCGAACGCUCCGCAAGGGGAGUGGCGAACGGGUGAGUAACGCGUGGGAACCUGCCCAGUAGUUGGGGAUAACCGCGGGAAACUGCGGCUAAUACCGAAUACGCCCUUAGGGGGAAAGAUUUAUCGCUAUUGGAGGGGCCCGCGUCGGAUUAGCUAGUUGGUGAGGUAACGGCUCACCAAGGCGACGAUCCGUAGCUGGUCUGAGAGGAUGAUCAGCCACACUGGGACUUAGACACGGCCCAGACUCCUACGGGAGGCAGCAGUGGGGAAUAUUGGACAAUGGGGGCAACCCUGAUCCAGCAAUGCCGCGUGAGUGAUGAAGGCCUUAGGGUUGUAAAGCUCUUUUACCGGGGACGAUGAUGACGGUACCCGAGAAUAGC
rnacentral:rRNA from 1 species